GACGAACCGUCCGAACGUUAUUCGGAAUCACUGGGCUUAAAGGGUGCGUAGGCGGCGCGGAAAGUUGGGUGUGAAAUCCCUCGGCUUAACCGAGGAACUGCGCCCAAAACUACCGUGCUCGAGGGAGAUAGAGGUGAGCGGAACUUAGGGUGGAGCGGUGAAAUGCGUUGAUAUCCUAAGGAACGCCGGUGGCGAAAGCGGCUCACUGGAUCUCUUCUGACGCUGAGGCACGAAAGCUAGGGUAGCGAACGGG
rnacentral:rRNA from 1 species